rnacentral:lncRNA from 1 species
AGUUCAAGACCAGCCUGGGCAACAAAGCGAGAUCUCAUCUCUACUAAAAAUAAAAAAAUAAAUCAAUAAAGACAAUGCAGGCAUUGGUUUAUAAUAAUGGUGAUGGCAGUUGACACUGUAUGGUCACCAUGUGGCAGAGGUACAUUAUGUCACAUAGUUCUCAUGGCAACCAUAUUAUGCAGAAACCAUGAUGACAUUCAUUUUACGUUAAGGAAACCGAGACUUCAGAUGUAAUAUGUUGCUCUUCCUCUUCCCUUCCUGAACGACUUAGUCCUAAAGUCAUUUUGUGAGGCCUGAAAAGGUAGGUGUCCACAUGAGGGCAUCUAGAGUGGGGUGCUGGGAUUGCAGGCAUGAGCCUCCAUGUCCAGCUCAAUACAUGUGGAUUUGUGUUUUCACCCGGGGAGCCCCCUAAAGUUCACAUGCCACCCCAGUCGCUGAAACUGAGGGUAUUAUGGCCUUGGCUUCCUGGGCCAGGAAGAGAGAAAUUUCUGGCACCGUGUGAUGUUCCAGCUCCCUGAGGUCCCUCCAGAGUUGACUCUGGAGAUAGCUGCAUUGUGUCUGCAAGGUAUGCUGGAGAGAGUUGGUCUCUUCCCAUAAGACGGGCCAAAGACAGAGGGGCCAGGCUGCAGAGGAGAGAGAAGGGCUGAGCACCCUCAGUUGCAUCUGAGAGUUUAACUUUCUGAUUCUCAGGUAUUUGGAUGAGAGAGAGUUUUUGUUGUUGUUGGUCCUGAAGAGUGUCGGUUAACUAUUUUGUGAUACAGUAUUGUGAUUUAUAAUAAGAGCUACACACUUGGUCUUCAACCCUGUACUGGGCACAGAGCUCGUAAAACGCUUGGAAUUUCCUAAGUGAUUCAUAACAAGCCCCUUUCAACCUGAGUUUCUGCUGAUGAGGUGGCUGGAGGAGACUGAGGGGCUGGA